GCGGCGUGCCUAAUACAUGCAAGUCGAGCGAAUUGAUGGGAGCUUGCUCCCUGAUAUUAGCGGCGGACGGGUGAGUAACACGUGGGUAACCUGCCUGUAAGAUUGGGAUAACUCCGGGAAACCGGAGCUAAUACCGGAUAAUAUGUUGAACCGCAUGGUUCAACAUUGAAAGAUGGUUUCGGCUAUCACUUACAGAUGGACCCGCGGCGCAUUAGCUAGUUGGUGAGGUAACGGCUCACCAAGGCGACGAUGCGUAGCCGACCUGAGAGGGUGAUCGGCCACACUGGGACUGAGACACGGCCCAGACUCCUACGGGAGGCAGCAGUAGGGAAUCUUCCGCAAUGGACGAAAGUCUGACGGAGCAACGCCGCGUGAACGAUGAAGGCCUUCGGGUCGUAAAGUUCUGUUGUUAGGGAAGAACAAGUACCAGAGUAACUGCUGGUACCUUGACGGUACCUAACCAGAAAGCCACGGCUAACUACGUGCCAGCAGCCGCGGUAAUACGUAGGUGGCAAGCGUUGUCCGGAAUUAUUGGGCGUAAAGCGCGCGCAGGUGGUUUCUUAAGUCUGAUGUGAAAGCCCACGGCUCAACCGUGGAGGGUCAUUGGAAACUGGGGAACUUGAGUGCAGAAGAGGAAAGUGGAAUUCCAAGUGUAGCGGUGAAAUGCGUAGAGAUUUGGAGGAACACCAGUGGCGAAGGCGACUUUCUGGUCUGUAACUGACACUGAGGCGCGAAAGCGUGGGGAGCGAACAGGAUUAGAUACCCUGGUAGUCCACGCCGUAAACGAUGAGUGCUAAGUGUUAGAGGGUUUCCGCCCUUUAGUGCUGCAGCAAACGCAUUAAGC
rnacentral:rRNA from 2 species